GGGCUCAUGGUCCAACAGGAAGACACCGGCGUCGCAAGCCGGAGGACCAAUCCAGCCUUCGGCUGAUCGGUGCCCGGAUGCGAUUCCCGGUGAGUCCA
rnacentral:tRNA from 1 species